GACGAACGCUGGCGGCGUGCUUAACACAUGCAAGUCGAACGGAAAGGCCCUGCUUUUGUGGGGUGCUCGAGUGGCGAACGGGUGAGUAACACGUGAGUAACCUGCCCUUGACUUUGGGAUAACUUCAGGAAACUGGGGCUAAUACCGGAUAGGAGCUCCUGCUGCAUGGUGGGGGUUGGAAAGUUUCGGCGGUUGGGGAUGGACUCGCGGCUUAUCAGCUUGUUGGUUGGGUAGUGGCUGACCAAGGCUUUGACGGGUAGCCGGCAUGAGAGGGUGACCGGCCACAUUGGGACUGCGAUACGGCCCAGACUCCUACGGGAGGCAGCAGUGGGGAAUAUUGCACAAUGGGCGGAAGCCUGAUGCAGCAACGCCGCGUGCGGGAUGACGGCCUUCGGGUUGUAAACCGCUUUCGCCUGUGACGAAGCGUGAGUGACGGUAAUGGGUAAAGAAGCACCGGCUAACUACGUG
rnacentral:rRNA from 1 species